UCAUACCAAGCUGAAUAUACCGGUUCUCGUCCGAAGUUAAGCAAAGUCGGGCGCGGUAACUAGUAGAACAGGUGACAACCUGGGAACAUGACGUGAUGU